rnacentral:rRNA from 1 species
UACGUAGGGUGCAAGCGUUGUUCGGAAUUAUUGGGCGUAAAGCGCGUGUAGGCGGCUUUGCAAGUCGGGUGUGAAAGCCCUCAGCUCAACUGAGGAAGUGCGCCCGAAACUGCAGAGCUUGAGUACCGGAGAGGAUGGUGGAAUUCCCCAAGUAGAGGUGAAAUUCGUAGAUAUGGGGAGGAACACCGGUGGCGAAGGCGACCAUCUGGACGGAUACUGACGCUGAGACGCGAAAGCGUGGGUAGCAAACAGG